rnacentral:rRNA from 1 species
GACGUAGGGCGCAAGCGUUUGUCCGGAUUUAUUGGGCGUAAAGAGCUCGUAGGCGGCUUGUUGCGUCGACCGUGAAAACCCGUGGCUUAACUGCGGGCUUGCGGUCGAUACGGGCGGGCUGGAGUUCGGUAGGGGAGACUGGAAUUCCUGGUGUAGCGGUGAAAUGCGUAGAUAUCAGGAGGAACACCGGUGGCGAAGGCGGCUUUCUGGACAGUAACUGACGCUGAGGCGCGAAAGCUAGGGGAGCAAACAGG